rnacentral:miRNA from 13 species
CGUCUUCCAGCGCAGUGCCGGG